rnacentral:misc_RNA from 1 species
AACGCACAUUGCGCCCCCUGGUAUUCCGGGGGGCAUGCCUGUUCGAGCGUCAUUACAACCCUCAAGCUCUGCUUGGUCUUGGGCCUCACCACCCCGGUGUGCCCUAAAACCAGUGGCGGUGCCACCCGGCUUCAAGCGUAGUAAUCUCUCUCGCUUUGGAGGCCCGGGCGCGUGCCUGCCAUCAACCCCCAUUCUACCAAGGUUGACCUCGGAUCAGGUAGGGAUACCCGCUGAACUUAA